GUGCUCACUUUGGCAGCACAUAUACUAAAAUUAGAAUGAUACAGAGAAGAUUAGCAUGGCCCCUGCACAAGGAUGACAUGCAAAUUCAUGAAGCAUUUCAUACUUUU
rnacentral:snRNA from 1 species